rnacentral:lncRNA from 1 species
CCACCGGAGCUUCUUUUUCUUUUUUCACGGCGGGGGCUGCGGCGGCGGCGGAAUCUGUUUUCUCGGCGCGGAUUGCGGUUUUGGUGAAGGAGAGGGAUCUGGGACGGUGGGUUGUUGUGAAAAAGUGGAGUUUCUUUACAUCGGAGGUUGCGGCGGUUGUUAUGGCGGAGCUAAAGAUUCCGGCGGCUUGAGUUGCCAUCUCUUUUUUCUUCUUUUUUCUUUGUUCGUUUUCUUCUCUAAUGAGAAAAUUUUGGUUAAUAGUGUAUUUG